AGCAGUAGCCGCGGGAAUACGUAGGCAGCAAGCGUUGUUCGGAAUUACUGGGCGUAAAGAGUGUGUAGGCGGUGCUCUAAGUUCGGUGUGAAAUCUCCCGGCUCAACUGGGAGGGUGCGCCGGAACCUGGAGUGCUCGAGCGUGGGAGAGGAAAGCGGAAUUCCCAGUGUAGAGGUGAAAUUCGUAGAUAUUGGGAAGACCACCGGUGGCGAAGGCGGCGACCUGAUCCAUAACUGACGCUGAGGCGCGAAAGCGUGGGGAGCAAACAGGAUUAGAUACCCCCGUAGUCCCUGUCUCUUAUAC
rnacentral:rRNA from 1 species